AGUGAACGCUGGCGGUAGGCCUAACACAUGCAAGUCGAACGGCAGCACAGAGGAGCUUGCUCCUUGGGUGGCGAGUGGCGGACGGGUGAGGAAUACAUCGGAAUCUACUCUGUCGCGGGGGAUAACGUAGGGAAACUUACGCUAAUACCGCAUACGACCUACGGGUGAAAGCAGGGGACCUUCGGGCCUUGCGCGAUUGAAUGAGCCGAUGUCGGAUUAGCUAGUUGGCGGGGUAAAGGCCCACCAAGGCGACGAUCCGUAGCUGGUCUGAGAGGAUGAUCAGCCACACUGGAACUGAGACACGGUCCAGACUCCUACGGGAGGCAGCAGUGGGGAAUAUUGGACAAUGGGCGCAAGCCUGAUCCAGCCAUACCGCGUGGGUGAAGAGGGCCUUCGGGUUGUAAAGCCCUUUCGUUGGGAAAGAAAUCCAGCUGGCUAAUACCCGGUUGGGAUGACGGUACCCAAAGAAUAAGCACCGGCUAACUUCGUGCCAGCCGCCGCUGUAA
rnacentral:rRNA from 1 species